rnacentral:rRNA from 1 species
CACGUAGGGUGCAAGCGUUGUCCGGAAUCAUUGGGCGUAAAGAGCUCGUAGGCGGCUUAGUAAGUCGGGUGUGAAAACCCCAGGCCCAACCUGGGGACGCCACCCGAUACUGCUAUAGCUAGAGUCCAGUAGGGGAGUGUGGAAUUCCCAGUGUAGCGGUGAAAUGCGCAGAUAUUGGGAGGAACACCAGCGGCGAAGGCGGCACUCUGGGCUGGUACUGACGCUGAGGAGCGAAAGCGUGGGUAGCGAACAGG